rnacentral:lncRNA from 7 species
GCCGCAGGCAGCCAGCGCUGCCCUGACGGCCGCCGAGGCCCUCCUCCCAUCGGCCGCCUCGGAGCCGUGGCCGCCCCUGGGCUGCCGGCCGACCCGUCCCCGAGCACCCUCCCUCCCCCGGCAACCUGCUGCCCGCACUGGUGCGUGGGGGAAGCUCGGGCCGCUACCCGGGAACGGCCCCGUCCUGCCGUCCCCCUCCAACCCGCACGCACGCACGCACGUCCCACUCCCACUGCCACUGACACAGAGCAAGCACCGCAGGAUGGAUAGAAAGAGGAUUUAAUGGGACUGUAGCUGCGAGCUGGCUGUUCCCCGGUGCUCCGUUACGUCCUUCCACGCUGG